UUUUUUUUUGUUUGUUUUUUUUUUUACUUUUGCAAUGCAAGUAAGAAUAGACUUCGGUUCUGAUAUGUGAUAAAAGCACAAUGACGAGCAUAACUAAUCAAAUGCUUGCUAAGUUCAAACAGGGCCUGGAGCCUUCUGGUUCCUAAAAACAACAGUACAGGAGUUACCAUCGUGGCUCAACGGUUAACGAAUCUGACUAGGAACCAUGAGGUUGCAAGUUCAAUCCCUGGCCUCGCUCAGUGGGUUAAGGAUCCGGCGUUGCCAUGAGCUGUGGCAUAGGUCGCAAAUGCGGCUCGGAUCCUGUGUUGCUGUGGCUCUGGUGUAGGCCGGCAGCUACAGCUCCAAUUAGACCCCUAGCCUGGGAAACUUCACAUGCCGAGGUGGCCCUAGAAAAGGCAAAAAGACCAAAAAAAAAAAAAAAAAAAAAAAAAGUAAAAACAACAGUACAGUUGUCCCUUUAACAACACAAUUUGAACCCCACAAUCCACUAGACAUAGAGUUUUUUCAACAGUAAAUACCACAUUGCUACCCAAUCCACUGUUGGUUGAAUCCAAUAAUGCAAAAACCACAAAUACAGAGGAACCAAGUAUAAGGAGGGCUGAUGGCAAGUUAUACAUGGAUUUUCCACUGCAAGGAGCUUUAACAACUCUAAUCCCACACUGUUCAAGGGUUAACUGUAAUUAUAACAGCCAAUAUUUACUGACUAAUAACCAUGGGCCAGGUGCUUAGACUAUACCCUCAUGAGAUCUCUGUGGGAUAGAUACUGUUAUAAUCUCCACUGGAUAGAUAAUGGUAAGGAUGUUUAGAAAACAUCAGGGUAAAGGACUCAAAUCAGGCAGUCUGACCCAGACCAGUGCCCUUAGCCCUGUUCUGGGCUCUGCCCCUUUAAAAAUUUCCCCUGGAGAACUCUCUGAGUGCAACACACAAUGGAUGAUUUUACUCUAUAAUGACUCAGAUUCAUUCACUUGCUCAAAAGCACUUACUGAGUGCCCACUGUGACAGAAAUCUAUGCUAGAACUGUAGGGAGUUACUAAAAGAAAUAAGAUUGGGCCCUGCCCCCUUAAUAGCUCACAGUCGAAGGAAGAUAAGAUUGUAGGAAGAUAAGAUAGGAAUACAAACAACCAUAUUUCAGAGUAGUUUUUGCCAUCUGCAGUUAGAGAGGAUGAGGUGAUACGAGCAUUAGGCAGUACCAUAUCCUUUCCUAAGACAGCCUUUGAUGUUUGGGUACCUCCUGGGAAGCUAAUUUAGCAUUAAAGCUUGAAAAGAAGUUUGCCUAGGUCCUUUGCUUUGAAUCAGAGGGAAAAAUUUUUAAUUCCACAUUUAAAGUCUAAAGAGUUUUGGGCUGGCUUGCUUCCCAAACAGGCCAAGGGACAAAAAAAAAAGGGGGCUCCUACCAAUGGCUUCAAGGCAUCUCUGCCCCUGGGAAGAUACAAAUCUGUCCCACCCAGUCCAGUCCUAGGAGGUACCCAUAGGGGGCUUUCCUUGCCAAGGAGGUGUCUACGGAACUGCCAGCGGUACGGGGCCUGAGUGGGGGUCAGUGUCCUCCCACACCUCUCGUCCUAGUGUGGCUUUCCGUCACCAUGCCCGGACUCCCAGACCUCCAUGCCACCAACCCAGACUUAGACCCAAAAGCUAGGCAGCACAAACCACAGAGCUGUAUAUUCUGGCCCUGGGAGUUACACUAGGAAUAAGCACAUAAUCAAGCAAGGCCAUUCUGGAAUGGCUAUACAACCAUGGAAGAGCAAACAAAGCCCCUUUCUACAGUACUUGCUAAGUCAGAGGAUAUGAAUUCUACCUUCCUCAUAGGGGGAGACUGUUCACAGAAUAAAGCUAAGAGGAAAUAAGUAGAACCAAGAGAUGGAGCAAAAGGCAGAGUCCUGACAACAUCCUUUUAGCUCCUGGGUCUUGUUGUGCCUAAAACCCGUCACCUUAGACAUCCUGAGAACAAGAGACAGUAAACUGCAUCCCUCGGUCAGGUUUCUAUCACUGGGAGGAAACAAAAAGGUAUCAACUAAUAUCUUCUGUAUAAAAUGCUACAUGAUAGCAUGGACUUUAAAACCAAGCCCUGGCAAGCCACUCAGGUCUCUCUGUGACUCUGUGCAGUGCGGCAGCCUCUCUGACCUGGUAUCUUCAUCUUUAAGAUGGAAAUGAAGGCUUAACAAUAUUAAACAGGAUAAUGCAUGUAAAGCACUUGGCCCAAUGACUGAUACAUGGUCAUUCUAGGAUAUCUGAGGGCCACAAACAACACAGUCAAUGUCAUCAUCACCACCAGUUAAUUGUAUGUGUCAUCCUGGCUGGGUUAUGGUGCCCAGUUAUUCAGCCAAACUCUAGUCUAGGUGUUGUUAUGAGGGUAUUUAGAGAUGUGACUGACAUCUGACAAUAAGCUGACCUUAAGUAAGGCAGAUUACCCUUAAUAAUGAGAGUGGGUCUCACUAUUAUCCAAUCAGGUGAAGGCCUUACAAGCAAAAACUAACGUUUCAUAGAGAAAGAAUUUUACCUCACAACUGUAAUGAACAUCCUGCCUGAGUUUCCAGCCUGCUGACCUGCCCUGCAGAUUUUGGACAUGCCUGUCCCCAAAACCAUGUGAGUUGAAUCCUUAAAAUAAACCUCCUCCCUCUCUCUUUCACUCUUUCAAUAUAUAUAUAAAUUAAUAUUUACUUUGUGUGUGUGUGUCCUAUUGUCUCUGUUUCUCUGGAGAGCCCUGGCUGACAGUCAUCACAACUUGCCUAGCCAUUCCCCACUCUUCGCAGUAGCAGUCAGAACAUGACCCAUAACCAAGACAAUGCACAGCCAGUUGAAACAAGACACUAGUGUAUUUGAUUGAUUUCCACAACUGUCCUCCAAGAAGCAAGACAUUUCCAGUCUUUGUCUUUGUCAAAGACCUAAGUGUGGCAUCUCACAGUGGAACAUAUGAACACAGAGCAAGCUAAUAAUAUCUGUGGCUUACACUUAAUCCACCUCUGGCAUAAAUCUGGAAAUGUAUCCUGGGAAAUAAUUGCUCUGGAGGUGAAGUUCUCAGAACCAUAUAUCGUAUGGUUUUCCCAGGGACACAUUUUUCAAAGCAUUGAGUCAUUGUGUUUUCACCAAUUGAUUUGGAGGGGAUUUGUUUGUUUUUAAGCAAUGCACAAAGAAAACCGAUUGGCCCUUCCUUAACUAACAUGUAUUGACAUCUGAAAUUAUAAGCCAAGGCUCUGGGUACCGGAACUGAUUCCAACUGGGGAAGCUGGAAGCAACACAUUAUCUACAGUGAUGCAGAGAAAUCCCGUCUACGCUGGGCAGGGAGCAGGUUUUACCAGCCAUCUCCUUCCCCAGCCACCCUCUGUGAUGGCAUUUCUAUCUUCUCUCUUACUGACUGUCCAUUAACCGUGGGGCCAGCUUCCGUGCUAAGCACUUCAUAAAUUUUUCCUGAUUAUUCUUUCCCAUAAUCCUCUUUUCUACUCAGAAAACACAAAGCAGCAUGUUUCUGUAA
rnacentral:lncRNA from 1 species